GGGUCUGUAGCUCAGCUGGUUAGAGCACUGUGUUGAUAACGCAGGGGUCGUUGGUUCGAGCCCAACUAGACCCA
rfam:Acidovorax sp. Leaf160 contig_5, whole genome shotgun sequence.